GUUGCUGUGGAAGGAUUUGUGAUGCUUGCAACCACAAAAAAAAUUGCUAAAACUCUCUUC
rfam:Bacteroidales bacterium KA00251 genomic scaffold Scaffold528, whole genome shotgun sequence.